CCUACGGGUGGCAGCAGUGGGGAAUAUUGCGCAAUGGGCGAAAGCCUGACGCAGCGACGCCGCGUGAGGGAUGAAGGUCUUCGGAUCGUAAACCUCUGUCAGCAGGGAAGAACGGUCACUGUGCUAAUCAGCAGUGAAUUGACGGUACCUGCAAAGGAAGCACCGGCUAACUCCGUGGCAGCAGGCGCGGUAAUACGGAGGGUGCGAGCGUUAAUCGUAAUUUCUGGGCGUAAAGCGCUCGUUGGCGGUAUGUCAAGUCACGGGUGAAAUCCCCGCGCGCAACGUGGGAACUGCCUUUGAAACUGGCAAACUUGAGUGUGUGAGAGGAUAGUGGAAUGCCAGGUGUAGGAGUGAAAUCCGUAGAUAUCUGGAGGAACAUCAGUUGCGAAGGCGACUAUCUGGCACAUAACUGACGCUGAGGAGCGAAAGCGUGGGUAGCAAACAGGAUUAGAUACCCCUGUAGUC
rnacentral:rRNA from 1 species